GGUAUGAACAAGGCAAAUGCUCCCAAGUUCUGGGGUAGUCUCUGGUUUGGUUUUGUUAGAACAGCACAGUAGGGGGUUCUCUGCUGUUCCAUUUGGAUCUGUUGUUCAACCCUUCCCCUUACCUGCUGAAGAUCCCAAUAAUGGUUCAAUCUGCUCUACAAUCAUUCCUGCCUAGCUGCAGGUUUUGAGGUUUAAGUCCAUUAAUUAGUCCAUAAUUGAUUCUAAUCUAGGGGAUGCCACUGAGUCCGCUGGAUCCAGGGCAGGAGCCACAGCAUCAGAGCAGGAGGGAAGAGUACACCCUGUGACCAGGAAUUAAGCCACCUUCCUCCUGGAAGCCACACCCUCCUGGCCAGGUGAACACAUGCCAGAAGUCUCCAUAAAUGUUUGCUGGAUGUACCAAAUGAAGAGAGCUUAUGACAGAAGGAAACGUUUGAAGCAAGGAAAGAGAAAAAGAGGAGAAAAACACUUCAUCCAAAAUUGCAAAUCAGAGAAAUGGCCACAGACUUGUUUUGUGUCAUCCGUUUGGUGUUUGCAUCAGUCAUGGGAGAAGGCAAGGAUGGAAUCCUCUUCCUGAUUGCUGUCCCUUUGGGUUUCCUGCCCAGAAAAAAGUGGUGCAGGAUGAAGGGAAGGCUAUUAGAAACCACAAAGAAGAAAAAUCAACUUGUGUAUUGGCUAGCCUGAAUUACCAGGGUAUAUAUUCCGAACUUUAUUCCAUAGUAACUGCAGAGCCCUAGAGGAUAUCUGGAUAUCAAAAAGUGUAAUAAGCCCCACCCCCUAAUGCAUCUC
ensembl:lncRNA